AGGCAGCAGUGAGGAAUAUUGGUCAAUGGCCGCAGGGCUGAACCAGCCAAGUCGCGUGAGGGAUGACGGUCCUAUGGAUUGUAAACCUCUUUUGUCAGGGAGCAAAGGGCGCCACGUGUGGCGUUUUGCGAGUACCUGAAGAAAAAGCAUCGGCUAACUCCGUGCCAGCAGCCGCGGUAAUACGGAGGAUGCGAGCGUUAUCCGGAUUUAUUGGGUUUAAAGGGUGCGCAGGCGGAAUGUCAAGUCAGCGGUAAAAUUUCGGGGCUCAACCCCGUCGUGCCGUUGAAACCGGCGUUCUUGAGUGAGCGAGAAGUAUGCGGAAUGCGUGGUGUAGCGGUGAAAUGCAUAGAUAUCACGCAGAACUCCGAUUGCGAAGGCAGCAUACCGGCGCUCAACUGACGCUCAUGCACGAAAGCGUGGGUAUCGAACAGGAUUAGAUACCCUGGUAGUCCACGCAGUAAACGAUGAAUACUAACUGUCCGGGCAGAAUGAUGCCUGG
rnacentral:rRNA from 1 species